GCUCAGGAGAAACCAAAGACUGCCACGAGGGAGCUUGGGGAAAGGUGGAGCUGUGCCUGGCACCCAAAGCUUCCUUUAGAAUUGCAACAUGAUUAUGGUGUAAAACUUUGCAGGCGUGAUGACUGAAGAUGAGAAUGUCCUCUGAAUUCUUUCAUCCCAAGUCAACAGGAAAAUGAAGACAGAAGAUAGGCUCUGAAAAUAUAUUGAAGCAAGACUCAAAGCCAUCGCCCAACCUAUUGAUCGCCAGACAAUGUCAAUGUUGGUGUGAAGAAGGAAGGCUGACUUUUUCAAGUGGGGGCAUAUUGGUUUGUCCUCAAUGAAUGUUCACACAUUAAAAUAAUGUUUUAGAACACACUCUUCAGCUAUGUACAGCAAUGUUACUUUUCUUCUAUUUUACCACAAUCCCAGUUCUGAUAAUGUAUGAAAAAGAUUGACUAAAUUACCUUUCAUGCUGAA